GACGAACGCUGGCGGCGUGCUUAACACAUGCAAGUCGAACGGAAAGGCCCUGCUUUUGUGGGGUGCUCGAGUGGCGAACGGGUGAGUAACACGUGAGUAACCUGCCCUUGACUUUGGGAUAACUUCAGGAAACUGGGGCUAAUACCGGAUAGGAGCUCCUGCUGCAUGGUGGGGGUUGGAAAGUUUCGGCGGUUGGGGAUGGACUCGCGGCUUAUCAGCUUGUUGGUGGGGUAGUGGCUUACCAAGGCUUUGACGGGUAGCCGGCCUGAGAGGGUGACCGGCCACAUUGGGACUGAGAUACGGCCCAGACUCCUACGUGAGGCAGCAGUGGGGAAUAUUGCACAAUGGGCGGAAGCCUGAUGCAGCAACGCCGCGUGCGGGAUGACGGCCUUCGGGUUGUAAACCGCUUUCGCCUGUGACGAAGCGUGAGUGACGGUAAUGGGUAAAGAAGCACCGGCUAACUACGUG
rnacentral:rRNA from 1 species